ACGUAGGUGGCGAGCGUUAUCCGGAAUUAUUGGGCGUAAAGGGUGCGUAGGCGGCCUUUUAAGUUUGUGGUGAAAGCGUGGGGCUCAACCCCAUACAGCCAUAGAUACUGGGAGGCUAGAGUACUGGAGAGGGUAGUGGAAUUCCAUGUGUAGCGGUAAAAUGCGUAGAUAUAUGGAGGAACACCGGUGGCGAAGGCGGCUACCUAGCCAGAGACUGACGCUGAGGCACGAAAGCGUGGGGAGCAAAUAG
rnacentral:rRNA from 1 species